AUUUGCUUCCCUAUGUACUGGAUGAUCUUUAAGAAGGAAAAAUCUUAAUCAGAUUUACACCUUGACUGUCUUCCCUCUGAGGAAUUAGAAGCCUCUGUGUGCCAGAGAGAAGACUGAGAAGCAGGUUCCAUGGGGCUCCAGUCAGGCUAGAAAUGCCGGGAGUGUCACAGAUCUUAGAAGAGAAGCAAAGAGGUCUGGGCAGCCUGUGAGGGACAGGCAGCUGGGUUCCUGGGUCACCGGUCAGCUACAGUGGCAGUGCCAACGCCAGCGGCAGAGGUGGUGGCAUGAGCCUGGUCAGCCAGUGCCUUACCUGUCAUUAAGGAGUCACUUUGGG
rnacentral:lncRNA from 1 species